GAUGAACGCUAGCGGCAGGCUUAACACAUGCAAGUCGAGGGGCAGCGGGUUGUAGCAAUACAAUGCCGGCGACCGGCGAAAGGGUGAGUAACGCGUGAGCAACAUGCCCGAUACUGGAGGAUAGUCGAUGGAAACGUCGCGUAAUACCUCAUAACAUAGUGAAACCGCAUGAUUUUACUAUCAAAGAUUUAUCACGCAGAGAUGGGCUCGCGUCUGAUUAGCUAGUUGGUGAGGUAACGGCCCACCAAGGCGACGAUCAGUAGCCGGACUGAGAGGUUGAACGGCCACAUUGGGACUGAGACACGGCCCAGACUCC
rnacentral:rRNA from 1 species